CAGUAGCCGCGGUAAUACGUAGGGUCCGAGCGUUGUCCGGAAUUAUUGGGCGUAAAGGGCUCGUAGGCGGUUUGUCGCGUCGGGAGUGAAAACUCAGGGCUCAACCCUGAGCGUGCUUCCGAUACGGGCAGACUAGAGGUAUGCAGGGGAGAACGGAAUUCCUGGUGUAGCGGUGGAAUGCGCAGAUAUCAGGAGGAACACCGGUGGCGAAGGCGGUUCUCUGGGCAUUACCUGACGCUGAGGAGCGAAAGCAUGGGGAGCGAACAGGAUUAGAUACCCGCGUAGUCCCUGUCUCUUAUAA
rnacentral:rRNA from 1 species